rnacentral:rRNA from 1 species
UACGAAGGGUGCUAGCGUUGUUCGGAAUCAUUGGGCGUAAAGCGUACGUAGGCGGUUUAGUAAGUCGAUUGUGAAAGCCCCAGGCUCAACUUGGGAAUUGCAACCGAUACUGCUUUACUAGAGUUUGGUGGGGGAUAAUGGAAUUCCUAGUGUAGGGGUGAAAUCCGUAGAUAUUAGGAGGAACACCAGUGGCGAAGGCGAUUAUCUACGCCAAUACUGACGCUAAGGUACGAAAGCGUGGGGAGCAAACAGG